GACGAACGCUGGCGGCGUGCUUAACACAUGCAAGUCGAGCGGUAAGGCCCUUUCGGGGGUACACGAGCGGCGAACGGGUGAGUAACACGUGGGUGACCUGCCCUUAGCUCUGGGAUAAGCCUGGGAAACUGGGUCUAAUACCGGAUAUGACUCCAUGACGCAUGUUGUGGGGUGGAAAGCCUUGUGCGGCUAGGGGAUGGGCCCGCGGCCUACCAGCUUGUUGGUGGGGUGAUGGCCACCAAGGCGACGACGGGUAGCCGGCCUGAGAGGGCGACCGGCCACACUGGGACUGAGACACGGCCCAGACUCCUACGGGAGGCAGCAGUGGGGAAUCUUGCGCAAUGGGCGAAAGCCUGACGCAGCGACGCCGCGUGGGGAUGACGGCCU
rnacentral:rRNA from 1 species